GCCAAAAUCUUAGCCCCACCCCACCACUUUAAACCGCUACAACCACUUCACCUAAAAUAAAACAUUUUGACUAUUAAGUACAGGCGAUAAAAAAAUAACCCGGAGCUAUAAAUUAAGUACCGCAAGGGAAAUGUGAAAUAAAAAUGAAACAAACAUAAAGCACAGAAAAGUAGAGAUUAAACCUCGUACCUUUUGCAUCAUGGUUUAACUAGUCUAAUCAAGCAAAAAGACUUAUAGUUUGACCCCCCGAAACUAAGCGAGCUAUUUCAAGGCAACUUUUAGAGCUUACCCGUCUCUGUUGCAAAAGAGUGGGACGACCUUCAAAUAGCGGUGAUAAACCUAA
rnacentral:rRNA from 1 species